UUGGAGGGCAAGUCUGGUGCCAGCAGCCGCGGUAAUUCCAGCUCCAAUAGCGUAUAUUAAAGUUGUUGCAGUUAAAAAGCUCGUAGUUGAACUUCGGGGUCUACCCAUUGGUCAGGCUUAAUUGUCUGUACUGGUGAGAUGGAUCUCUACCUUCUGAGGAACUUUCAUGCCAUUUAUUUGGUGUGGUUGGAAAUCAGGACUGUUACUUUGAAAAAAUUAGAGUGUUUAAAGCAGACUAUCGUCUGAAUACAUUAGCAUGGAAUAAUGAAAUAGGACGGACUGAUUCUAUUUCGUUGGUUUCUAGGAUCACCGUAAUGAUUAAUAGGGAUAGUUGGGGGCAUUAGUAUUCAAUUGUCAGAGGUGAAAUUCUUGGAUUUAUUGAAGACUAACUACUGCGAAAGCAUUAGCCAAGGAUGUUUUCAUUAAUCAAGAACGAAAGUUAGGGGAUCGAAGACGACCAGAUACCGUCGUAGUCUUAACCAUAAACUAUGCCGACUAGGGAUCGGACGAAGUUAAUUUUAUAAUGACGCGUUCGGCGCCUUACGGGAAAC
rnacentral:rRNA from 1 species